rnacentral:lncRNA from 13 species
UUGAUGAGGAGAAGCCCAAAAGGGCGGAUGGACAAUAAAUACGUUUUUUUUUAAGUGAACUCUGUUGUGUUACUGAUCACCUUACAAAUCAAAAGUGUCAAAAGGUUAUGGGCCCAGCACGCUUCCACUGCGCCAAAAGUCGUCGAGUGAAGGAAGACUAGGAAAAAGCCGGAAAAAUUGAGAAAUUAUUGCGAGACGAAUUUGCACAGCGGGAACACCACAGGAGAACAAUAGGCGAGAACCGAAGACGCUCACAUCAGAAAUCUGAUUAGUUAAAUUGUUAGACAAUCGAUCUGAUUGGCCGAAAUGUCAGUUUUAAAAGAAAUCAUAGACAGAUGCAGUCAAGCAUUGUCCAUUGAUGAGGAGGACAUUCAGGCCACAAUAAAAUUAGACGAGCACCUUUUCACAGUGCAGUUUGCGGCCGGAGAGAGUGUAGUACUCAGUA